ACGUAGGGUGUGAGCGUUAAUCGGAAUUACUGGGCGUAAAGCGUGCGCAGGCGGCUCUAUAAGACAGAUGUGAAAUCCUCGGGCUUAACCUGGGAACUGCGUUUGUGACUGUAGGGCUUGAGUGCGGCAGAGGGGGGUGGAAUUCCACGUGUAGCAGUGUAAUGCGUAGAGAUGUGGAGGAACACCGAUGGCGAAGGCAGCCCCCUGGGACAUGACUGACGCUCAGGUACGAAAGCGUGGGGAGCAAACAG
rnacentral:rRNA from 1 species